rnacentral:rRNA from 1 species
UGACCGCUGGCGGCGUGCCUACUACAUGCACGUCGAGCGAACAGACGCGGAGCUUGCUCCUCUGACGUUAGCGGCGGACGGGUGAGUAACACGUGGAUAACCUACCUAUAAGACUGGGAUAACUUCGGGAAACCGGAGCUAAUACCGGAUAAUAUAUUGAACCGCAUGGUUCAAUAGUGAAAGACGGUUUUGCUGUCACUUAUAGAUGGAUCCGCGCCGCAUUAGCUAGUUGGUAAGGUAACGGCUUACCAAGGCAACGAUGCGUAGCCGACCUGAGAGGGUGAUCGGCCACACUGGAACUGAGACACGGUCCAGACUCCUACGGGAGGCAGCAGUAGGGAAUCUUCCGCAAUGGGCGAAAGCUUGACGGAGCAACGCCGCGUGAGUGAUGAAGGUCUUCGGAUCGUAAAACUCUGUUAUUAGGGAAGAACAAAUGUGUAAGUAACUAUGCACGUCUUGACGGUACCUAAUCAGAAAGCCACGGCUAACUACGUG